rfam:Clostridium sp. CAG:277 genomic scaffold, scf150
AAGUGAUGAUGCGUGUGAUGUUCCAAGAAACAGUGCAUGGCUGAGCUUGAUAAGGGUUGUACAUUUACCAAAACUUGGAUAGGUGAUGAUACCGAAAGAAAAUGUUCAAA